rnacentral:rRNA from 1 species
AUCGAACGCUGGCGGCAUGCCUAACACAUGCAAGUCGAACGAGACCUUCGGGUCUAGUGGCGCACGGGUGCGUAACGCGUGGGAACCUGCCCUUAGGUUCGGAAUAACUCCCCGAAAGGGGUGCUAAUACCGGAUAAUGUCUUCGGACCAAAGAUUUAUCGCCUUUGGAUGGGCCCGCGUUGGAUUAGCUAGUUGGUAGGGUAAAAGCCUACCAAGGCGACGAUCCAUAGCUGGUCUGAGAGGAUGAUCAGCCACACUGGGACUGAGACACGGCCCAGACCCCUAGGGGGGGAAGGAGUGGGGAAUAUUGGACAAGGGGCGAAAGCCUGCUCCAGCAAUGCCGGGGGAGUGAUGAAGGCCUUAGGGUUGUAAAGCUUUUUUACCCGGGAUGAUAAGGGCAGGACCGGGAGAAUAAGCCCCGGCAAACCCCGG